GGGCCGCAGCCCCCGCCUCGGCGCCCCGCAGGCAUCCUCAAGCCCGGCCUCGUGAGGCGCCCGGUAACGUGGGGGCCCCAGCUCCCCUUCCCCACCUAAAAUUCUCACCGCGCCCCCUCCCUCCCUGGCGCCUGGAGCCGCGUCCAGCCCGCGGUCCCUUCGCCGGACCUGGGUGGCUUGCGGUCCUCCCCCACCCCCUGCUUGGGUCCCUGCGCCCCUAGUCCUAGCUCCCCUCUUUUGUAUCCCCCUUUAAUCCCCAUCCCCCCAUUCUAUCCAACUUCAGCCCCCGCGCUGCGCCCCCCUUUCCUGGUCCGGCUCGAUUGGCCGCUUCCUGAGCUGUCAGACUUGAGUUCGGCGCUCUUAUUGGGCGAUUCUCUGGCCGGGCGGCUGUGCCAAAGGAGGGCGCAGCGGGCCGGGGGCGCCUAGGCAGCGACUGCCGCAGGGAGACGAAGACCAGAGUCCCUGGAGGGCUGGAGGGGCCCGAGAGCCAGACCCGGAAAUGGACAGGGGAGAUGGAGAGACUGAGGAUCUCAGAGGCACAGGAAGACAGUGACGGAAAAGAUGGAGAUGCAGUGGGUGAGGCGGAUGCAGCCAGGGCGGGGCGGACAGGAACGCUUUGGUGGAUAGUUAACAAGAGGCAGCCCCGCACACAGCACCAGGAACACCUGGCAUUUGUGAAGAGCCGUUCCUGUUCAUACUUUUGUUGUUGUUGCUAUUGAAUCUCAUUUGAUUUCCCUCAACCACCCUGGAGUUGUGACAGAGGCAGGGCCUAUGUGAUUAAUUCCAAUUUAUAAAUGCGGACACUGAAGAUUCAGAGCUUACUCAACUUGCCCUGGGCCACACACGUCUCCUGACUUGGCAACCGAAAGAUCCAGCGCCAGGCUGGCUCCCUACCUAGCAAGGUGUUAUCGGGAAGGAUGCAAAAUAGAGCAGGAUGGAGAGCCCCGGCGGGAGUGGGGCGGGGAAGAGGACAGAGAAGGACCUGAUAGUCCUGCAUCGCCCCAGCGGCAAAGAAGCAGGAGAGGAGACGACUUGACUUUGGGUCAAAGAGGACCCAGAUCUGUGGAAUGAUGUACCUACCCUCUUGCCCCUAAGCUGUCCCGCUGGAUGUUCCUGCAGUCUAAACACCAGGAGAGAUGAGGACUACCACACCUCUACUUCGGGGAGGGAAAAGCAACCUUGACUUUAUUCUUCCUUCAGCUCUCUCUGCAGAGCUUCUGACAGAGGCUAGCCGUUGGGGAGAAAUUCCUACAAGUAGAACUGCUGAGCCAAAGGAUAAACAUUUUUUCACCUAAGAACUGUCUCCACAGUCUGCUGAACUCCUUGAGGGCAGAAUUGGGAUCUUACUCUUUCUUGUGCCCCGUACCUGGCACACAGGAGGUGCCCUUCCCUGUUUGUUGGAUAAGCAAAUGCUGUUCAGGCAAAAUGGCACCCUUUCUCCUCCCAGACCAGUGAGUUUGCUGAGAGCAGAUCCAGCACAGAAGACAGCCCGGGCCAUGCCGUUGGCAGACACUUGCCUCUAGCAAAUGUGAUUAAAGGCAGCAGCAAGCAUCCCAUCUGAUGAGAAAAUAAUCUUUUCCACUCAACAAUGAGGAGGAUUGAGAGAAGGGUGCUAAGCCUGGAGUCAGAAUACCUGAAGGCUCUACACCAGCCCUACCACUCUUUGGCUAUGUGAUAGCCAACAAAUCACUUCACCUCUCUGAACUGCGGUCCCCCAGCAAGGGUAACUGCACUCCUACACACGCUGAUGACUUGUUAUUAGGAUCUGGACAAUGAUGUGAAAUUCCUUUUCAAAUUAUUCACCCUUAUAUACAAUAGGAAUCAGUCUUAAUAAAAGCAAAUUUAUAAAUUCA